UCAUCGGGCACAAACCAGCACCUCCCAUAAUUGCUCUUCUUUCUGGAGCUCUAAAGCUACAUCCAGUCAAGUCUAAGCCAUCCAAACAACACUGGAUGCUUCCAAUCAGCAUAGGAAGCAUCCACAAAGACUGCCUGCAUUCCUACAGUUGUCUUAUAAAAUGCAAUUAAGUUAAUAGGAUUACAAGAAAACAUCUAAAAAUGAUCUAGAAAACUUCACAUAGAAAGAUUUCUGAAUGAACUGAAGUUAUAAUUUCCUCCAUAUGUCAUCACAAGAUUAUCUGCACCAUGAACUUUUAUAAAGAAUCGCACAACUAUUAAGAUGGUUUGUGCAGCAACUCAAUAACUACUGUUGAUAUUUUGAAGUCCACAUAUCCCUAUACAAAUGUCCACAAAAGAUUUCUGAAAUUCACCAAAGUCCUAACUUCCUCCAUACAUCCAUCACAAGAUUAUCUGCACCAUGAACUUUUAUAAAGAAUCACACAACUAUUAAGACCGUUUGUGCAGCAACUCAAUAACUACUGUUGAUAUUUUGAAGUCCACAUAUCCCUAUACAAAUGUCCACAAAAG